UAAGCAGUAAAGAAUAAAUAGAUGCAAAAACUUGUCCACAAAACUAUACCAAAAGCAGAUUAAAAUGGUCCCCAAAAUUCUUAGAGGCCGAAAAGUAGAAAACGUGCCAAAUGUUAGUUUGGGCCAAUUUUUAUUCGAUUCUGCUACAAAAUUUGGCGAAAAACCAUGUCAGUAGCGGGACGACCGGUCUUCCUAAAGCAAUCUGUCACAGUCACUCAAGUUUUCUUCAUCUUGUUUACAAUUUUUACGAAACUAAUGGAAACGGCUGUCUUGACGUCGUUCUUUCAUUUACCACGUUUUACUGGUU